CGGGAGGCAGCAGUAGGGAAUCUUCCACAAUGGACGAAAGUCUGAUGGAGCAACGCCGCGUGAGUGAUGAAGGUUUUCGGAUCGUAAAACUCUGUUGUUAAAGAAGAACAAGUGUUAGAGUAACUGUUAACACUUUGACGGUAUUUAACCAGAAAGCCACGGCUAACUACGUGCCAGCAGCCGCGGUAAUACGUAGGUGGCAAGCGUUGUCCGGAUUUAUUGGGCGUAAAGCGAGCGCAGGCGGUUUUGUAAGUCUGCUGUGAAAGCCCUCAGCUCAACUGAGGAAGUGCAGUGGAAACUACAAAACUUGAGUACAGAAGAGGAAAGUGGAACUCCAUGUGUAGCGGUGAAAUGCGUAGAUAUAUGGAAGAACACCAGUGGCGAAGGCGGCUUUCUGGUCUGUUACUGACGCUGAGGCUCGAAAGCAUGGGUAGCGAACAGGAUUAGAUACCCUGGUAGUCCAUGCCGUAAACGAUGAAUACUAGGUGUUGGAGGGUUUCCGCCCUUCAGUGCCGCAGCUAACGCAUUAAGUAUUCCGCCUGGGGAGUACGACCGCAAGGUUGAAACUCAAAGGAAUUGACGGGGGCCCGCACAAGUGGUGGAGCAUGUGGUUUAAUUCGAUGCUACGCGAAGAACCUUACCAGCUCUUGACAUCUUCUGCCAACCCAAGAGAUUGGGCGUUCCCUUCGGGGACAGAAUGACAGGUGGUGCAUGGUUGUCGUCAGCUCGUGUCGUGAGAUGUUGGGUUAAGUCCCGCAACGAGCGCAACCCUUAUUAUUAGUUGCCAGCAUUUAGUUGGGCACUCUAGUGAGACUGCCGGUGAUAAACCGGAGGAAGGUGGGGACGACGUCAAAUCAUCAUGCCCCUUAUGAGCUGGGCUACACACGUGCUACAAUGGAUGGUACAACGAGUCGCGAAACCGCGAGGUCAAGCUAAUCUCUUAAAGCCAUUCUCAGUUCGGAUUGCAGGCUGCAACUCGCCUGCAUGAAGUUGGAAUCACUAGUAAUCGUGGAUCAGCAUGCCANCGGUGAAUACGUUCCCGGGCCUUGUACAGC
rnacentral:rRNA from 2 species